GUUGUGAGCAUCCCCUCCGCCUCCUCUUUUGAUUCUCGCAAAAACGGAGUUCUUCCGUGCCCUAGCUCACCGUUGCCUCAAGCUUGGGUCUCGCCGGAACCCGCCACUGCCUGAAGCUUCCGUCGGUUCGUUUUGUUGCCUGUAGUGAGGAGCCCGAGCAAACACGACGACGCCAGAGUUCACGCCAUCACUGCCAGUCUUCCGCCUACAGAGGACGGUCUCAUCGCCGUUUAAGCCACUACUGUCACCCCGACGUACACCGCAUCCUUCCGCCACCUCUCCUUCUGGAGGACCACCGGAGGAGCGCCGUCACCCACGCCAGAACCCGCCGCCGUGUUCCCCUGCUUCCGAUUGCUCGAAGCGUGACGAGUAGAAUUACCAGGAAUUGUGAGUGCGACGAUCUUCACCAAACGUACCAGGCAAGUUACACCUUGAUCAUCGUUCAACCUAUUUUUUUCUAUGCAUGUAGUUAUACUAGCC